rnacentral:rRNA from 1 species
AAUAUUGCGCAAUGGGGGCAACCCUGACGCAGCAACGCCGCGUGAUUGAAGAAGGCCUUCGGGUUGUAAAGAUCUUUAAUUAGGGACGAAUAAUGACGGUACCUAAAGAAUAAGCUCCGGCUAACUACGUGCCAGCAGCCGCGGUAAUACGUAGGGAGCAAGCGUUAUCCGGAUUUACUGGGUGUAAAGGGCGAGUAGGCGGGCUGGUAAGUUGGAAGUGAAAUCUCGGGGCUUAACCCCGAAACUGCUUUCAAAACUGCUGGUCUUGAGUGAUGGAGAGGCAGGCGGAAUUCCCAGUGUAGCGGUGAAAUGCGUAGAUAUUGGGAGGAACACCAGUGGCGAAGGCGGUCUGCUGGACAUUAACUGACGCUGAGGAGCGAAAGCGUGGGGAGCAAACA